rnacentral:rRNA from 1 species
GAGAGAUACGGAGGUAGAGCACUGAAUGUCCUAGGGGGUAUUGCACCUACCGAAGACUAUCAAACUCCGAAUGCCGUCAUCUUAUACUUGGGAGUCAGACUGUGGGGGAUAAGAUUCAUAGUCGAAAGGGCAACAGCCCAGAUCGUCAGCUAAGGUCCCUAAAUGUAAGUUAAGUGGUAAAGGAUGUGGGAUUGCACAGACAACCAGGAUGUUGGCUUAGAAGCAGCCACUCAUUCAAAGAGUGCGUAAUAGCUCACUGGUCGAGUGAUCCUGCGCCGAAGAUUUCCGGGGCUAAAACUUACUACCGAAGCUACGGCAUCAGUAAUGAUGGGUAGGGGAGCUUCCCAUACGGGUUGAAGCAUGACCGUAAGGACAUGUGGACAGUAUGGGAGUGAGAAUGUUGGCAUGAGUAGCGAGAUGUGGGUGAGAAUCCCACAGGCCGUAAACCCAAGGUUUCCAGGGGAAGGUUCGUCCGCCCUGGGUUAGUCGGGACCUAAGCUGAGGCCGAAAGGCGUAGGUGAUGG